CUUUAUUUUAAAAUUUUUAUAUAUUUAAGUAGUGUGGAUGAUUAAUUUAAUAUUUAAAAUUAUAUUUGAAACUUAAAAAGCUUGGCGNUGUUAUAUACCCAUUUAGGGGAGCUUGUUUAUUAAUUUGAUAAUCCUCAAUAAACUCUUACUUUUUUUUGAAUAUUAACAGUUUGUAUAUUGCUGUCAUCAGUUUAUUUCGUAAGAAUUGGGUUAAAAAACUUAAAAGCUUAUAUGCUUAGAUGUCAAGUCAAAAUGCAGCUUAUGGAAAAGGUUUAAAAAUUAUACAAAUGAGCUACAAUUUAUAAAUUUAAUUGGAUUAAAUUUUGUAAAAGAUUUAUAAAUUUGGACUUAAUAGUAAUAUAAAUAAAUUAGUAUGUUCAUAUGAAUAAGGUUUUAUAACGCGU
rnacentral:rRNA from 1 species